CUCAUAUCAUACGGAACACUUUUAGUUGAAUUCUGGCUCAUCGUGCUACAAUGAUCAACCUCAUAAAAAUGCAAUGUUCAUGCAACGGACUUGAAUUUGAAAUGGUUAAAUGACGUGUCCAAAAAGGGACAAAUAAUCGAAACAACUCCAUUGGAAUGCAUGAACUUUGCCAAUCACGUACUCUCUGGUGACUGAAGGAAGCUUUCAAAUGUGAACAUCAACCGACCCAACUAGAUGAUGAGCAGUUUGGUCUCUGAAUUGGAGAAUGUAUAGUGCAUGAUGGAGUGGCUACUAUACGAUGGACUUAAUCGAACUCCUCCCCUUUUCGGCUGGGCAAAUGCUAAUAAACCAUUUCAUAAUCUUA